rnacentral:rRNA from 1 species
GAUAGAGCUGCUCUUAUGAAGUUAGCGGCGGACGGGUGAGUAACACGUGGGUAACCUGCCCAUAAGACUGGGAUAACUCCGGGAAACCGGGGCUAAUACCGGAUAACAUUUUGAACCGCAUGGUUCGAAAUUGAAAGGCGGCUUCGGCUGUCACUUAUGGAUGGACCCGCGUCGCAUUAGCUAGUUGGUGAGGUAACGGCUCACCAAGGCAACGAUGCGUAGCCGACCUGAGAGGGUGAUCGGCCACACUGGGACUGAGACACGGCCCAGACUCCUACGGGAGGCAGCAGUGGUCU